rnacentral:rRNA from 1 species
CCUAGCGAGACUGCCGGUAAUAAACCGGAGGAAGGUGGGGAUGACGUCAAAUCAUCAUGCCCCUUAUGACCUGGGCUACACACGUGCUACAAUGGUUGGUACAACGAGUUGCGAGUCGGUGACGGCGAGCUAAUCUCUUAAAGCCAAUCUCAGUUCGGAUUGUAGGCUGCAACUCGCCUACAUGAAGUCGGAAUCGCUAGUAAUCGCGGAUCAGCACGCCGCGGUGAAUACGUUCCCGGGCCUU